rnacentral:rRNA from 1 species
CCUACGGGUGGCAGCAGUGAGGAAUAUUGCACAAUGGGGGAAACCCUGAUGCAGCGACGCCGCGUGAGUGAAGAAGUAUUUCGGUAUUUAAAGCUCUAUCUGCAUGGAAGAAAAUGACGGUACCUGAGUAUGAAUCCCCGUCUAACUACGUGCCAGCAGCCCCGGUAAUACGUAGGGAGCCAGCGUUAUCCGGAUUUACUGGGUGUAAUGGGAGCGUAUUCGGGUGCACAAGUCUGGAGUGAAAUGCCGGGGCGUAACCCCGGAACUGCGUGGGCAACUGGGCAGCUAGAGUGCAGGAGAGGUAAGCGGAAUUCCUAGUGUAGCGGUGAAAUGCUUAGAUAUUAGGAGGAACACCGGUGGCGAAGGCGGCUUACGGGACUGUAACUGACGUUGAGGCUCGAAAGCGUGGGGAGCAAACAGGAUUAGAGACCCGGGUAGUC